CCGGAGGAAGGUGGGGAUGACGUCAAGUCCUCAUGGCCCUUAUGGUAGGGCUUCACACGUCAUACAAUGGUCGGUACAGAGGGUUGCCAAGCCGCGAGGCGGAGCCAAUCCCACAAAGCCCGAAUCGUAGUCCGGAUUGUUCGUCUGCAACUCGAGAGCAUGAAGUCGGAAUCGCUAGUAAUCGCAGGUCAGCAUACUGCGGUGAAUACGUUCCCGGGUCGUU
rnacentral:rRNA from 1 species